CUUCAGGUCGAUUGAUCCUGUUUCCACCCAGGAGUGCGUGUCGUUAAUUUUGUUCCUCCCAAGGUACCGUAGUUGUUUUGAAAUGGCAAUAUGGCGCCAAACUGAACAAAAAUGUGUUUCUACUACGGAGUGUUCUAAAGUAUAAAUUGAGUCCCUACAAAUGCUACAUUUGACGUGAGUAUACAUUUGAGAAUCAUCUACGCGUCCAACCGCAGCCGGGUCGUGUCGGACGUCAUCAACACCAUCUCAGAGCCCCAGCUGCUCCCCGGCCAUCGACAUCCUGAAAUCGUCCAACCUGGAAAGAUUCAUCUAUCACGUCCCGGGUGGUGACGGCCUGCCCGUCAGGGGGCUGCGGGGUGAGUCAUUUAAAACCAGGUGCUGCCUCAGCAGCUGCGACCGGAGGACGCGGGAGGAUGAAGUUUCACCCAAGGCAGGACUACUCAUCACUGCACUUGUUCAACUCGAAAAGCUCAUGCUGACUGAUCUAUUAGCUUUUUUUUUUUUAGGUCCAUGUAUUAUGUUGACCAAGAUGUAACUCAACAUCCACGAAUGGCUACGUCGUCAUGCUGCUCAUCAGGAGAAGAGGAAAGAAGAGUCUGCGCGCGAGUGACUGAAAGUGAGGCGUGAUGAUGCAACCCCCCCCCCCCCCCCCCGCUGUGUUAUGAUUGGCUGAUGCAUCCAGGCAGGAAGUGCAGGUGAAACGAGAUGGUGUGACUGACUAGCUGUGCGUAAAGUCAGGUUGAAUGUGUGCACUCAAGAAAAGUCCUUUGAGGUUUAUUUCCUUGAAAAAUAAUGAGUGAAAAUGUUCCAAACUGACUGAAAUCUAUCUUGGUUAUAUUUGAAGGGAAACAGCUGAGGGUUUGAGACUGUGUACGAAUGUGAGUGUAUUUGAGUGAGGAAAUGAAUGUGCAUGCGGUGAGGAGAGAAGCAGCCAGCUGUUGCUGAGCAUCAUGGCGGCGCACGGCCGGCUGAGCAGGGAAAAUUGCAGGUAGCAGCCUGUUCCUCCUCCUCUUCCUCCAACACAACAACGAAGGCUCGUCUCAAGCACGAGGGCAACGGAUAUUGAAGGGGACAAAUCAUGAAUUUGUGACAUCGCAAUCGGCAAAUAUUUGAGAGGGCCUCACUCACGUUUUCAACAAAAAAAAAACUGCAAGAUUUGGAGCAAAUCUGCCAUUCACGCCUUCAUUUUUGUCCAUUUCAGGGUGCGGCCGUUUUGCCCUUUGAUUGAAAACGACAUCACGAAUGCGGAGGGGUUCACCUUUGCGUACGUCACAUUCCAAAACCCCGAAAACAGGUGAGCCGUGUUGGUUGUUAUGCACUGUGAUGUCGUUUUCGGUCGACAAUUUGUUGGAGCCAAAGGCAAAAUGGCCGCCCCGCGAGACGACUAAUGCUUUAAUUAAUAUUGCACAAAUGCGAAAUUAAUCACAGUCCUGUUUUUAGACGAACGGGGGCACGUCUUGUCAAGAAAUCUCACACCGCGGAUGCGGUGAAGACCAAAACUUUUCUGUUUCCAACUGCGUCGCGUCAUUUGUGUAAAGUCAUGCUUGGAUGACAUUGGUACGAUCGAAGGCUCUCUCUGACAGGCACAGCUUGUCAAGUCUUCCCAGAAGAGUGAAAACUAUCCAACUCACUGCAUUUUCUAAACUGUCCGCUCCUUGUAGGACGCUGGUGUCAAACCCAAAGUCUCAUUGGCCCGAUUUCACCCGCCAGCAUCUUUUGUCUCCUUUUUUUUUUUUUUUGUUCUUUUCAUUCUGGCUCCAAAUCUGCUCUGAAAUGAAUUUAUCUUCACUUUAGACAAACAUUACAAGCAUCCCCCCCCCCCCACACCAAAUUUCCCCAAGACAUUGUUUCUUCUCUCCAACUCGCAACUGUCCCCCAUCUCCAGAUCGUCCGAGGAUAAUUUAUUUGUGACGCUCUCAGCGCGUGAGCGUUUGACAAGCCAGAUGGCUCACACUGGCAGAGAAGGUGCGAAGUCCAUCAUCAAUCAGCCUGAUGUUUUCGCCCAAUGCGCUGUAUUUGCAUCCUAUUACACGCCGUGCGUCGAUGCGGACACGCCGUAUAACUUGUUGGCUUUUAUACAUGCUCGUGUCAUCAGAAGCCGAUGACUAUUAAUGAAUUGCACAAGGCCAAUCAUGAGGGGACACAUUUCAGAUCCGACGCUUUCGAAAACUCGCCGCUUCCUCCGCAGCCGGUUGAAUCUGAACGCCGUGAGACACGAUUGCGGUUUUAAGAGAUCAGUAUUUCUUAAUGAAUUGCCCCACAUACUACCCCCCCACCCCCCUUUCCGCAUGGCCUCCUGUCUACUCCCCCUCCCUUGGAUGUCACGGGCUGUUCCCGAGGACGCGUGCGCCAGGCACCCCCCCCCCCCC